AGGUAAGCUACUAAGAGCGAAUGGUGGAUGCCUUGACUGGUAAAGGCGAUGAAGGACGUACUAGACUGCGAUAAGCUACGGGGAGCUGUCAAGAAGCUUUGAUCCGUAGAUUUCCGAAUGGGGCAACCCAAUGUAUAGAGAUAUACAUUACCUAUAUAGGAGCGAACGAGGGGAAUUGAAACAUCUUAGUACCCUCAGGAAAAGAAAUCAAUAGAGAUUGCGUCAGUAGCGGCGAGCGAAAGCGCAAGAGGGCAAACCCAGUGCUUGCACUGGGGGUUGUAGGACUGCAAUGUGCAAGAGGUAAGUUUAGCAGAACAUUCUGGAAAGUAUAACCAUAGAGGGUGAUAGUCCCGUAUGCGAAAAACAAACCUUAGCUAGCAGUAUCCUGAGUAGGGCGGGACACGAGGAAUCCUGUCUGAAUCCGGGUCGACCACGAUCCAACCCUAAAUACUAAUACCAGAUCGAUAGUGCACAAGUACCGUGAGGGAAAGGUGAAAAGAACUGAGGUGAUCAGAGUGAAAUAGAACCUGAAACCAUUUGCUUACAAUCAUUCAGAGCCCUAUGUAGCAAUACAGGGUGAUGGACUGCCUUUUGCAUAAUGAGCCUGCGAGUUGUGGUGUCUGGCAAGGUUAAGCAAACGCGAAGCCGUAGCGAAAGCGAGUCUGAAUAGGGCGCUUAGUCAGAUGCUGCAGACCCGAAACGAAGUGAUCUAUCCAUGAGCAAGUUGAAGCUAGUGUAAGAACUAGUGGAGGACUGAACCCAUAGGCGUUGAAAAGCCCCGGGAUGACUUGUGGAUAGGGGUGAAAGGCCAAUCAAACUUCGUGAUAGCUGGUUCUCUCCGAAAUAUAUUUAGGUAUAGCGUUGUGUCGUAAUAUAAGGGGGUAGAGCACUGAAUGGGCUAGGGCAUACACCAAUGUACCAAACCCUAUCAAACUCCGAAUACCUUAUAUGUAAUCACAGCAGUCAGGCGGCGAGUGAUAAAAUCCGUCGUCAAGAGGGAAACAACCCAGACUACCAGCUAAGGUCCCUAAGUCUUACUUAAGUGGAAAACGAUGUGAAGUUACUUAAACAACCAGGAGGUUGGCUUAGAAGCAGCCAUCCUUUAAAGAAAGCGUAAUAGCUCACUGGUCUAGUGAUUUUGCGCGGAAAAUAUAACGGGGCUAAAGUAAGUACCGAAGCUGUAGACUUAGUUUACUAAGUGGUAGGAGAGCGUUCUAUUUGCGUCGAAGGUAUACCGGUAAGGAGUGCUGGAGCGAAUAGAAGUGAGCAUGCAGGCAUGAGUAGCGAUAAUUAAUGUGAGAAUCAUUAACGCCGUAAACCCAAGGUUUCCUACGCGAUGCUCGUCAUCGUAGGGUUAGUCGGGUCCUAAGUCGAGUCCGAAAGGGGUAGACGAUGGCAAAUUGGUUAAUAUUCCAAUACCAACAUUAGUGUGCGAUGGAAGGACGCUUAGGGCUAAGGGGGCUAGCGGAUGGAAGUGCUAGUCUAAGGUCGUAGGAGGUUAUACAGGCAAAUCCGUAUAACAAUACUCCGAGAACUGAAAGGCUUUUUGAAGUCUUCGGAUGGAUAGAAGAACCCCUGAUGCCGUCGAGCCAAGAAAAGUUUCUAAGUUUAGCUAAUGUUGCCCGUACCGUAAACCGACACAGGUGGGUGGGAUGAGUAUUCUAAGGCGCGUGGAAGAACUCUCUUUAAGGAACUCUGCAAAAUAGCACCGUAUCUUCGGUAUAAGGUGUGGUUAGCUUUGUAUUAGGAUUUACUCCGAAAGCAAGGAAACUUACAACAAAGAGUCCCUCCCGACUGUUUACCAAAAACACAGCACUCUGCUAACUCGUAAGAGGAUGUAUAGGGUGUGACGCCUGCCCGGUGCUCGAAGGUUAAUUGAUGGGGUUAGCAUUAGCGAAGCUCUUGAUCGAAGCCCGAGUAAACGGCGGCCGUAACUAUAACGGUCCUAAGGUAGCGAAAUUCCUUGUCGGUUAAAUACCGACCUGCAUGAAUGGCGUAACGAGAUGGGAGCUGUCUCAAAGAGGGAUCCAGUGAAAUUGUAGUGGAGGUGAAAAUUCCUCCUACCCGCGGCAAGACGGAAAGACCCCGUGGACCUUUACUACAGCUUGACACUGCUACUUGGAUAAGAAUGUGCAG
rnacentral:rRNA from 1 species